ensembl:lncRNA
UUCUAGAAAAUACAUCUUAGCAAAAUUGACCCUAGUAGAGAUAGAAAGUUUAAAAGAUCAAUUUCCAUAGAAGAAAUACAGCUAUUAAAUAGUUAAUCCCAAAAAAGCAGUAAGCCCAGAAGGUUUUAUAGGGGAAUUUUAAUAGGCCAUCAAAGACUAGAUGAUUUUAAUGCUAUUAGAACCGUUCCAGAGAUAGAAAAAGAAGGAAAAAUUCCAUGAUCUUUUAAAGAAGUGAAUAUAUCAUUGAUUUGCAAACCAAAUAAACACAGCACACACAUACACAAAAGAAAACUAUAGACUAAUCUCACUUAUGAAUAUUGAAGCAAAAAUCCUAAGUAAAAUAUUAGCAAAUAGAAUUGAACACCACAUUCAAAUAUAAUGCAUCAUGAUCCAGAGGUGUUAUUCCAGGAAGGGGCAACGUGUCGCUGAAUGUCUAGAAAGAGACCCAAACACAUACAAGAAGUUGGCACAGGAAAGUGACGUAUCGAGUUAGUGGAGAGAAGGAGACUACUCAGUAAGGUGGAGAAACACUCAAAAGGCUUGUGAAAAGUGAACUGCGUCACUACGUAUACUUUAAAACAAAAUAAAUUCUAUAAAUGUUACAGGUAAAAAAUGAAACCAUAAAUGCAUUGGAAGUAAACAAAUAAUUAUUUUUACAAUUCCAAGUGGGGACGGCCUCUAUAAGUAUGACACAAAAUUUGGAAGACCUGAAAGAAAAUAGUAAUAAAUUUGACUACAAAAAAAUAAAAUUUUCUUCAUGGCAAAAAAAAAAAAAAGCCAUAAGAUCAAAAAGGGAAUGAAAAACUUGGAAAAAUAUUUGCCAAAAAUGGGACAAACAGCUAAUUUUUUGAUUAAAUACAGAGCUCCUAAAGAAGACAACAAUAAGAAAAAGAACACCACCCACAGAAAAAUGGGUAAAGGAUAUGAACACUUUACAGAAAAGAAAAUUUAGCUAACUUAAUGAAGUGAAUAUAACAUUAAAUUGUUGAAUCUGAUAUUGAUAUUAAAUGAAGAAAAGAUGCUUAGCAUGUUCAUAAUAAUGAAAAUGCAAAUUAAAACCACAAUGAGAUAUAAUUUUCCAACUACCAGAUUGACGCGAUCAGAAAUUCGUAAUAGACGGGUGAGCAGGGCUGUGGGAAACAGGCACACUCACACACUGCUGGUGGAGGGCGAUUGCCCACAAAUGCUGUGGAGACCAUUUGGCAAUUUAUACCAAAAUGACAAGUACACAUCUUUUAGUCUAACAAUUCCACCUCUAAGAAUUUAUCCCAAAGAUGUAUUUGUAAAUGUAAGAAAUGACGGAUGGACAAAAGUUACUUAUUUCAGCAUUCUCUAAAAAAGCAAAAAUUGGAAACACCUUCAGUAUCCAGUAGGGAGCUCGUCAGUCGUGACAUUGAGUACCAUGCCACCAUUUAAAAGAGGGAGUCAACCUUAGUUGUGCUCAUAUGGAAUAAUCUCCAAGACAUAUUUUAGUCUCUUUUUUGGCUUAAAACAACAGAAAUGUCUUCUCUCAGUUCUGGCGGCUGGAAGCCUGAAACCAAGGUCACAGUCCUCCUGAGGGUUCUGCGGGCGGAUCUGCUCCAUGCCUGUCUCCCUGGCUUCUGGGGGUUGCUGGUAACGCCUUGGCAUUCCUUGGCUCGUCGACCCAUCACUCUGAGCUGCCUCUUAUCUUCAUGAGGCGUUCUCCUCUCUGUGUCUGCGUCUCUAAGAUACUUUUUACUGUGUUUCCAUUUGAACACUUUUGACAGCUGCGUUGAGACACAUUUCAUAUACCGUAAAAUUCAUCCAUUUAAAGUGUACAGUUCAGUGAUUUUUAAUAUAUUCACAGAGUUCUGCAACCUGCACCAAAAUCAAGUUUUAGAACAUUUUCAACACUUCAAAAAGAAAACACACACACAUAGUAGUCGCUCUCCCAGCUUCCCCAGCCCUGCCCCAGGUAACGCUAAUCUGCUUUCUGUUUCUAUGGAUUUGCGUAUUCUCUACAUUUUAUAUUAAUGGGAUCAUAGAAUAUGUGAUUUUGUGACUUGCUUCUUUCACUCAGCAUAAUAUUUUCAAGUUUCAUCCACAUUGUAGCAUGCAUCAGUAUUUCUUUUUUAUUGCUGAAUGAUAUUCUGUUGUAUGACUAUACCACAUUUUGUUUAUCCAUUCAUCAGUUGAUAGACUUUUAGGUUUUUUUUCCACUUUGGAGCUAUUUUGAAUAAUGCUGCUAUGAACAUUUGUGUACAAGUUUUUGUGUGGGUGUAUGUUUUCAUUACUCUUGGGUACACAUCCAGGCGUGGAAUUUCUAGGUUAUAUGGUAACUCUAUGUUUUAACUUUUUGAGGAACUGUCAGACAGUUUUCCAGAAUGGCUGCACCACUUUCCAUUUACGCAUUUUGAAUUUUGGACCAUGUGCUAGUAUUACCUAUUCAAAACUAUUAAUGAAAUACUUUUUAAUAAUAAAUUAGAGCUAUACCCACUGACUUGGAGAGAUUUCCAUUAUGUAUUAUGAAGGAUCUUAAGCAAGAAACCAUAAAGUAAGAGAAAUAUAUAUAUGAUUAUACUUUUAUAAAUUGAAAACCAAAAUAUUUGUGUGUGCAUGCAUAUGCAACUUGUAUCAGUGAUAAAUGCUUUUUGAUGACAAUAAACCAG